GGAUGAAGAACGUAGCGAAAUGCGAUAAGUAGUGUGAAUUGCAGAAUUCAGUGAAUCAUCGAAUCUUUGAACGCACAUUGCGCCCUUUGGUAUUCCGAAGGGCAUGCCUGUUCGAGCGUCAUUAUCACCCCUCAAGCCCUCGGCUUGGUGUUGGACGGUUUGGUGGAGGCCCCCUCGGGGGCUCCUGCCCCUCCCAAAGACAAUGACGGCGGCCUCGUUGGACCCCCGGUACACUGAGUUCUUCACGGGACACGUAUCGGACACAUGGGUUUACGGGACACGGUCUGCCUCCCCUCAGGGAGAAUCUUUCUAAGGUUGACCUCGGAUCAGGUAGGGAUACCCGCUGAACUUAAGCAUAUCAAUAAGCGGAGGA
rnacentral:misc_RNA from 1 species